UUUCCUAUAUUGACAUGUCAGGAUUAUCUCAAUACAUACAACACUACCUGUCGGAGCAGCAAUCACAUAAUCUGUCACAUAAUAAACCUGGACAAUAUAUAGCAAUACAUUAUCACAGGCACACAACUGAUCUGCACAUAUAUAUAUACCUACUUUCCAAUCCAUCCAUGGUCAACCCAUAUCCACAACAGGAUCUAUGACUGUAACUAUACACUAUAUACAACAGAAGGUUUAUAAUACACCAAAAGGUAUAAACCUCUAUCUAUAUUAUACUAUGGAGCGGCACAGCUAGCAGGCAAUCUCUAAUCCUGCUCCUCUCUAUACAACACCUGUCCUG
rnacentral:lncRNA from 1 species